rnacentral:rRNA from 3 species
GGAGAACUGAGGGGGGCUGCUCCUAGUACGAGAGGACCGGAGUGGACGCAUCACUGGUGUUCGGGUUGUCAUGCCAAUGGCACUGCCCGGUAGCUAAAUGCGGAAGAGAUAAGUGCUGAAAGCAUCUAAGCACGAAACUUGCCCCGAGAUGAGUUCUCCCUGAGACUUAAAGUCUCCUGAAGGAACGUUGAAGACGACGACGUUGAUAGGCCGGGUGUGUAAGCGCAGCGAUGCGUUGAGCUAACCGGUACUAAUGAACCGUGAGGCUUAACCUUACAACGCCGAAG